rnacentral:lncRNA from 1 species
AAAAUUGGAUGAUCUAAUGAAUUAAUAAUAUUUUAAUGGCUUAAAUAUAAAUUUGGUACCUGAACUUGUCCAUUUCUCCUAGGUUGAUACUUAAGUUUUUUUGUUCCAGAUUGGUACCCGAACCUUUUUUCCAUAAACUAAAUCGGUACUUUUUUGUAACACCGUUAAUGUAACACCCCUCGUCCGUCCUGAUCGUCGAGACUGAGUUUAAGAAUGCUACAGUACAAAAUGGAACAAUUAUAGACAUUUACCUGAUAACUCGAAUAAAAAAUCAUUAAAUUCAAUCAUUCAAGUCAUCCGAUACAAUUUAAAACAUUUCCCAACCUUUGUACGAGCUUACGUAAGCUUUAAAGUUGACUCGGGAUCGAACAAUGACCAAUUUGCAAACUUUCAAAAGUUCAAGGUUGGUAUUGUGAUGUUGCCAAAAUAGUAUGUCACGUCAUGACAUUGGACCACUUGAUGUCGUGACAUCACAAUCUAUCAGUCGGCGUUUCGACGAGGAGAAGUUGUUGGGACGAGAAACCUGUUUUAGCGCAAAAUAAGCCUUUUAGUACCUGAUGCACAACAACCCUUCAACUAAGUCUUUUGGUACAAUUUGCAUAUGUUUUACCUGCAUAAAAACAUGCCAAACAAGUAACUAUUCAACCAACUAACCAAUAUGUCACAAUUGACACCAUUUCAUAUCAAAACUACUUAUACAUUUUCAAGUCUAUCAUCCAUACAAGUAGCCAUAAUAUUCCGUCAUUUCAUUUAUCCAAUUCAUAUUCAAAUAUGUAAUGAUAGAUCCUAAUCACAUAUAGUACAUUAUACUACUAGCUUAAGGACAUAUACAAUUUGACAUUUACAACCCAAGAUUAAUAUAAACUAACAUUCCAAACUAAUUAGGCAUUAUAAGUUAACAUGACAACUCCUAAGUACAUGCCACAUAUAUCUGAGUAUAACAUAAUCAAAAGACUACUGAACCAAUAGAUAAAUAGUGUAACUCCGAGGUGAUCAGAUCGAUGCACUCCAUAUUCAACAAACUACAAAAGGAAGAAGACAAUGGUAAGCAUAAUGAAUACUUAGUAAGUUCAUACAAAAUUCAACUUAACUUGCCUAAAAUUAUGUCAAUUUAAUCAAUAAAAAUACAAAGAUGCUUAUCAUGAUAUUUUUUUUGACAUCCUUAGGCACUCUUGUACAAGUUCACAAAACAACCUCAAGUUAGUACGUUGGAAUAAUAAAAUCAAGGUGCUCAAAUCUCAUACAUGUACCACCAAACCAUUUGCUCUAUACUAUUCUAACAUAUAUAUUUAUAAACAUAUCAACUAAAUUUAUAAUCGAUCUCACCAACUAUUUCCUUUCCGAUUUGUUACCAUUUUUGCUUGUAGAACUAUAAUAAACUAACUUUGUAAACAUAGAACCAUUUUGCUCACAUAAACUUUACAAUUCAAGUCUACUCACACACGCUGUAGGUCAGGAUUGUUGAUAUAAGUGUUAUCUGAUGCUGCUCUCACAAGUUGUAAAGAAUCUGCAACAUAUGCUGGAUUUCAACCAUUGAUAACUAAGUCCCUGACCAGCACCAAAACUAUAUCAUUUGGGUCUACUUGCAUAAGAUGUAGGUCGGAAUUAUUCAUAUAAGUGUUAUUUGGUACUGCUCACACAAGCUAUAGAGUAUCCACAACAUACAUUGGAUCUCAACCAUCGAUAACUAAGUCCCUGAUCGUAAUGGUUUGUCAUCCCUACCUUAGUCAUUUACUAAAUACGUCAGAGCCUUAUUCUAUACUCGUACCAUUUUACUAUAUGUAACAUCAUCAUAUAUACAAUUUCAUAUCAUUCAAUCAUAUGUAUAUAUUUCACAUUUGUUCGAUAACCCGUACUUAUUAAAAAUUGUCUUAUAUUUCAAACAUUGCAAUUUAGUCUAAGUCAAAAGUAACUAUAAUUAAUUCCAACUCAAUAUACAAACAAUAUUAUAUAUAUUAUGUAAAAAAGGGAAAUCAACAUAAUAAGUUCCAUAUGAACUUACCUGACUAAAAUAACAACGAACGAGAUGUCGAGGACUAAUCGUAAUUUUGUUUUUUCCUCAAAUAUCCUUUGACUAGUUUAAUUUUUGAUCUAUAUAAUCAUUCAUUUUAAUUUAUCAAUGUCAAACAUUUAAAUGAAAAUCCAUGAUAUGCAUGAACCUAUUUAAUUUCAUUUUUACAAAACUCCUAAAAUUUUACACUUUAUUCAAUUUAGUCCCUGAAAUCAAAAUUAUCAUAACUUACACAUUUGAGCUUCAUUUUACAAUUUGAUUUCAAUUACGACCUUAUACUACUCUCCACUCUCUAUUUUUAUCAAAAUCUCAUGGUAGUUUUGUAACUUAUUCAGUUUAGCCUUAUGUUAAAAAAUUAACACUUAAACUUUACAAACUAGUCAUUUUUUUCAUUUCUAAGCUUAAAAACUAAUAUUUUAACACCAAAACUUCAAGAAUUCAUUAAUGGAAACAUUUUGAAACUUUAAAAGUUUUGAAAAAUAAAACAUGGAUUAGCUAAAUUGAGCUAUCACGAUCUCAAAAACACAAAAUUUAUGAAAAAUGACUUCAAACGACUUACCAUGAGAGGAUGAGAAGCUUGGCCGAAUGAUGAAGCUUCCAAAAAUGGUUUAUCGGGUGUGUUUGUUUGAAAUUUCAGUGGAAGUAAAUUAAAGGUGGGUUUGGAUAGGCGGUACGUUUACCUGUGGUUAGUGUAAACAGCGGUGGCAGUGAUAUUAGAUAGUGUAGCGAUGCUGUAGUGUGAGACAAAAAGUAAACUAAACGCACUGAACUACACCUAAUCGCCCAUCCAAACCCAUCCUGAAUGGAUGAUGAUGCAAUUUUUGUUUUUAUUUUUAUUUUUAUUAUUAACAUAUAAUAAUAGUUUAAUUAAUAUUUUAACCCAUAAUUCUCUUAAUAAAAAGCAGUUAACCUUCCACCGCUUUUAAAAAUGCUCUAACUGCCAUUGAAACUUUAGUUUAAUUGCUAAAUAGGUUUUUUAAUAAAUAAAAAUCUAUAACAAUUAACUUUUACCACUUUUACAAUUUAAUUCUUGUAUCUUAAUUAACUAUUCGUUCAAUAAAAUUACUAGACCGAAAUUUAAUAUAGUAUUAUAAUAUACUCACAAAUAUUAAAUAAUAAUAUUUACAAACUCGAUCAUUAAAAAAUAGGAUUCCAAAAUCACCGUUUCUGGUACCACUAAAAAAAUGGGCUAUUACAAUUAAAUUCAAGAUAGGUGGCAGAAUAGAAUUGUGAUGUGGCAUUAAUGAUGACAUAAUUUAAAAAAUAUAUUAAAAAUCUAAAAAAAAUUAAAAACCAUAACUUUUAUCGACACUUGAAUACAUAUAUUGGAUUCCAACUUAAUUAGCAAACAAAGAUAUGUCAAAAUUCACCCUUCCAACUCUUCCAAACAACCACAACUCAAUAAAGUUAAAUUACUACAUAAAGUAACUAGGUGAACUACAACACCAUGAACACCAUAAGCCAAGUUUCCAAGUUCUUAUCAUGACGUAGAUCAUUCAUUUACUAACUUUUAGUACCUAUAUCUCAAAUAUAUACAAAUCUCAUAAAUAAAUAAAAAACUCAUAUAUUAAAAAACAACUAACAAUCUGAAAUGUAAUAAACUUCAUAAUCAAAAUCAUGGAUUUCAGUCAUAGUUAAUCAUAAACACGAAAUUACUGUUUACUCAUAUCAUGAAAAAUCCCCAUUUGAGGAUACAUACAGAUAUUUGGAAAAAAAAAAAAAAAACCUCACCAUUUAGGUGCCUCUCGACUUGAGUCAUAUCUUUAAAAAAUUUAGAUACGAAAAUUUCAUAAAAAAAAAUCUUAAAAUCUAUAGAGGAAGUAACCUUCGACAUUGAGGAGGACUGCAAUUUCGAGAGCUACCGCUACGAGAAAGAGAGGAAGAAGAGAAAGAUCUGGAGCAAGAAUGAGAGCUAGACGAGGAAGCAAAUCUAGAGUAGGACACGGAGUGAGAGCGAGAAUUGGACUUAGAGUUUGAACCGGAAUAAGAGUAGGAACAAGACCUAGACCGUAAACAAGAACAGGAAGAGGAACCGGAGUUGGAGACAAAACGAGAACGACGACCUCUCAGCUAGAUUCAUAUCUUUAAAAAAUUAAGAUAUGAAAAUUUCAUUAAAAAAUCUUAAAAUCUACAGAGGAAGUAACCUUUGAUGUUAAGGAUUACGAUUUCGAGAGUUACCGCUACUAGAAGGAGAGGAAGAGGAGAAAGAUCUGGAGCGAGAACGAGAGCUAGACGGGGAAGUAGAUCUGGAGCGGGACACAAAGCGAGAGCGAGAAUUGGAUUUGGAUUUGGAGUCUGAAUCGAAAUAAGAGCGAGAGCUAGACCUAGACUGUGAACAAGAACAGGAAAAGGAACCAGAGUUGGAGACAAAACGAGAACGACGAUCUCUUGUUGGCUUUACGAUUUGCAGAAUACAAAGAGAGGAAUAGUAGAGAUAAGAAACCAUUUUUUUUUAUAUUUUUAUCUUUUGAAAAUGUUUUUAUUGAUUUUUAAUAUUUUUUAGAUUAUGACAUCAUCGUGAUGUUUGAAGGGCG